rnacentral:rRNA from 1 species
UACGGAGGGUGCAAGCGUUAUCCGGAUUCACUGGGUUUAAAGGGUGCGUAGGCGGGCAGGUAAGUCCGUGGUGAAAUCCCUGAGCUUAACUCAGAAACUGCCAUGGAUACUAUUUGUCUUGAAUAUUGUGGAGGUAAGCGGAAUAUGUCAUGUAGCGGUGAAAUGCUUAGAUAUGACAUAGAACACCAAUUGCGAAGGCAGCUUACUACACAGUAAUUGACGCUGAGGCACGAAAGCGUGGGGAUCAAACAGG